CAACACUGGGCCCUUAGCAACAGCUUGGUGUCACUGGCUGUCCAGGUCACUCUGUCCUGAUCCUGGGUGUUCCAAGGCGAAGUGGACUGUUCAAGGUGCCCUUGUAAUAAUUGUUCCUGCACCAACUGUAGGGCCGCUUGAACCUUUUCUUGAGGCAUGGACCACUGAUCGAUCCAGACUGGAUCAUUUGACUUCCAAGAUAUUUUAUCAGCCUGGAGUGCAGGAGGAACAGCGGUCUCUAUGAAAAAAGGUCUGCUCCUAAACCUCCUCUAUCUGUUUUGGGCGUGGGAGUCAAGGGUUCUGUGAUUCCCUGUUCAUUUCUACCUAAUCCUUUUCCAGGGAGGAAUCCUGUGCUUAACAUUUGGUUAGUAAUGACCUCAUUGGGACUACACAUCAUCACCCCCAUCUGGGAAAGAAUAUCCCUUCCCCAGAGGUUAACAGGGAGUCCAGAAACUACAAAUGGCCUAACUGUGCCUGUAUUAUUCUCUUUAUCUUUCCAGGUCAGGAGCUUUGAACUUUGGAGUGUAUCCUGUGUUUGACCUAUCCCUUUUAAAUGUGUGGCAGUAGCCUUAAGGGGCCAGGUUGAGGGCCAGUGUCUAGAGGAGAGCACUGUUGUAUCCGCCCCUGUAUCUAAAAGGCCCUGAAAUUGUUUGCCAUCAAGCCAAAGAGACAUCA
rnacentral:sRNA from 1 species